GCUCGAGACGGAAGUGUUUGCGCGUGAGGCAGGAAGUCCCGCCCCACGCCGAUCUCCAUGGAGACUGGACGCUGUUAGUGGAGAAAGGGCGGGGGGGAGCGUGGGGAUUUGACCGCAGAAAUGGAACUAAGGUCAAAACUUGGAAAAACCGGGACUAGAAUCCUCCUUAGACCCACCAACCCUGUUUAGAAAUCCUAAGAGAUUAAUUUUAACCUCACUGGCCUUGGAGGUAUACAGACCUGCGUUCGAAUCCCUUCUCGGCUACCUCUCAGCUUAAGACCUUAGGGAAGUUACAAAACGUCCCCAUGCUUCGGAUAACUUUUCGAUAAAAUGGCACUAACACUAACCCCGCAGAGAUGUGAAGAUAACAUGAAAUUAUAUCUUUUCUGGUUCAUUGUUUACAUAACUUUUUAUUUCAUCCUGAAUGUGGUUUGGUGUGUACUCCAAAGCCAUCCUUCCACGUUGACUUAAAAAACAUUCUUCGUUGCACAGCACAGAUGCCUCCUAUUGGAAUGGUACCUCACCCUCAUAGAGAACCAAUGGUAGCCUACGCUUGACCUUGCACUCUGCCAUUUCCGUGGUGCCUGCUUUGAAGUGU